rnacentral:rRNA from 1 species
AUUGAACGCUGGCGGCAUGCCUUACACAUGCAAGUCGAACGGUAACAGGUCUUCGGAUGCUGACGAGUGGCGAACGGGUGAGUAAUACAUCGGAACGUGCCUAGUAGUGGGGGAUAACUACUCGAAAGAGUGGCUAAUACCGCAUGAGAUCUACGGAUGAAAGCAGGGGAUCGCAAGACCUUGUGCUACUAGAGCGGCCGAUGGCAGAUUAGGGAGUUGGGGGGAUAAAAGCUUACCAAGCCGACGAUCUGUAGCUGGUCUGAGAGGACGAUCAGCCACACUGGGACUGAGACACGGCCCAGACUCCUACGGGAGGCAGCAGUGGGGAAUUUUGGACAAUGGGCGAAAGCCUGAUCCAGCAAUGCCGCGUGCAGGAUGAAGGCCUUCGGGUUGUAAACUGCUUUUGUACGGAACGAAAAGCCCCGGGUUAAUACCCUGGGGUCAUGACGGUACCGUAAGAAGAAGCCCCGGCUAACUUCGUGCCAGCCGCCGCCGUAA